rnacentral:rRNA from 1 species
CUGCACGAAUGGCGUAACGAUGGCGGCGCUGUCUCCACCCGAGACUCAGUGAAAUUGAAAUCGCUGUGAAGAUGCAGUGUAUCCGCGGCUAGACGGAAAGACCCCGUGAACCUUUACUAUAGCUUUGCACUGGACUUUGAAUUUGCUUGUGUAGGAUAGGUGGGAGGCUUUGAAGCGUGGACGCCAGUUCGCGUGGAGCCAACCUUGAAAUACCACCCUGGCAACUUUGAGGUUCUAACUCAGGUCCGUUAUCCGGAUCGAGGACAGUGUAUGGUGGGUAGUUUGACUGGGGCGGUCUCCUCCUAAAGAGUAACGGAGGAGUACGAAGGUGCGCUCAGACCGGUCGGAAAUCGGUCGUAGAGUAUAAAGGCAAAAGCGCGCUUGACUGCGAGACAGACACGUCGAGCAGGUACGAAAGUAGGUCUUAUUGAUCCGGUGGUUCUGUAUGGAAGGGCCAUCGCUCAACGGAUAAAAGGUACUCCGGGGAUAACAGGCUGAUACCGCCCAAGAGUUCAUAUCGACGGCGGUGUUUGGCACCUCGAUGUCGGCUCAUCACAUCCUGGGGCUGAAGCCGGUCCCAAGGGUAUGGCUGUUCGCCAUUUAAAGAGGUACGUGAGCUGGGUUUAGAACGUCGUGAGACAGUUCGGUCCCUAUCUGCCGUGGGUGUAGGAGUAUUGAGA